rnacentral:lncRNA from 1 species
GCUCACCUUGCCUUUGAGAGUGACCACUCAGGCAUGAGCUGUUUAAGACGAGAACAGGAGUGGGAAAUGGGGUGACGGGGACACCACAAUACUUCACAAACCUGUUAACUCAGUGGGACAACACAAAACAGAUCAUAAUGACAAAAGAAAGUCCAGGUCACAAGCUGACAGAGUCUGUGAUUAUCAGCUCUUCAUCCUCAAUGACCAAAAGCAGGAAAGCAAGACAGCAAGGACAGUGACUGUGCCCUCUGCGGCAGCUUGAAGGGUCUGGAUAAAUCUUUUUUUAAAUGUUAUUGUCCAACCAGGGAUGCUUGGGAGUAAAUCAAGUGAUGCAGCCUGGUGAGCAGCAGAAAGCAUGUGCUGACUUAGAGGGCCGCAGCAUCUCAGUGUGGGUAUUCCUGAAACCCGAGGCUCAGUGCUGAGCUUCCUCAGAAAGCACAAAGGUGACUGGUGAAAUUAAUAUAACAUUGCCUCGCCUGCAGACUAUUGAUUCUGCCUCAUUUCCUGGCUCCUCUUUUCCAUUCUGAAGACAUUAGCUACAGGGGCUAUUGAUCAACAAGUUGCCUGUCACUUCUUUGGGUGCAAAGGACAAGAGCCCUGUCACCUCAGUGCCACAGAAUAGAUGGAGAGGUAAAAGGUCAGAGAUGAAAGGCCUUUGAUUGUCUCUCCUUUGUAGUCAGCCUCCGGGAAGCACCUGCAGAGCUUCUGUUUACAUUGUCCUUGGGGAGGAAGGUGGAAAACUGUUGCACCCAGCACCUGCCUGAUGUAGGCAAGGCAGAACUCUUAUCUUCCUCAGGUGGUCACAGGGAGGGAGGGAUUGUUUGUGUGUAAGGCAGGUUGCCUUUUUAUGGAAAAAGCCCAUGCUUCCUAGGCUCUUCAUUUGUUGUGGACAUUGCCAGAGCCUCAUCCAUCUGGAAAGUGCAGUGUUGUUAGGCAUUGAGUGAAAAACACCCAAAUCAAUUUCCUCUAAGAAAAGAAAUGGGACCUCCUUUUUUUUCUCCUUUAAGAUCUGAUGACGCCAUUGAUUUCAUUGUUGAACCAGAGAAGAGCAGGUCAGGAGGGUUCAUCAUGAAACUAAGAGAAAGCAAGCUAGAAGAAAACGUGAUUUCUUACCCAACUCCACACAAAUUUGAGAGAUGACUUUGUGGCAGUUUUGCCAAGGAGUGGGAGCCUCAGUGUCCUUGAGGAAACAAAGGAGGAAAUAGAGAGGUAAAAUUUGUUAGACACUGAAGGAAGAAUAUGUUCUACUUUCAUAAGGAAUGUUGAACUUUCUCUCCUGUUCCCCUUAACUAUACAGGUAAUGAGACAUGUGAGGAGCCGCCCUCACAUUUGCCAUUAUAAGAUGGCGCUGACAGCUGUGUUCUAAGUGGUAAACAUAGUCUGCACACGUGCAGGGGCAGUUUUCCCGCCAUGUGUUCUGCCUUUCCCGUCAUGACAACUGGGCCGAUGGGCUGCAGCCAAUCAGGGAGUAAUACGUCCUAGGCGGAGGAUAAUUCUCCUUAAAAGGGGCGGGGUUUUGCCAUUCUCUCUCUUGCACUCUUGCGCUCUCUUGCUCUCUUGCUCUCUUGCUCUCUUGCGCUCUGGCCCCUGAAGAUGUAAGCAAUAAAGCUCUUGCUCUUGCUCUCUUGCUCUCUGGC